rnacentral:SRP_RNA from 1 species
UUCACUUGGGCAUGUGUAGUCCCAGCUACUCGGGAGGCUGAGGUGGGAGGAUUGCUUGAGCCCAGGAGUUCUGGGCUGUAGUGUGCUAUGCCCAUUGGGUGUCCACACUAAGUUCAGCAUUAAUAUGGUGACCUCCCGGGAGUGAGGGAACUACCAGGUUGCCUAAGGAGGGGUAAACCGACCCAGUUCGGAAAUGGAGCAGGUCAAAACUCCUGUGCUGAUCAGUAUUGGGAUCGCGCCUGUGAAUAGCCACUGCACUCCAGCCUGGGCAACAUAGCAAGACCCCCGUCUCU